ensembl:lncRNA
UUCCCUGCUCUGGGUGAGGGCCAUCGAGGCGGGAGAUGUCCUAUCAGGGGGGAGAGCGCUCCACUACAGCUACAGCGCCUCUACAGAACCAGGGCUCUUGUGGGGAGCUCGUACCCAGAGCUACACGGCCAGGAAUACCGCAGAGGCAAACAAACGCAGCGAGCGUGAAGAUUGGAGAUUACCUGGAAAUUGGCAGGCAGUCUCUAACGUUGAUCCCGGAGGAAAGCUGCUCCCUGAUACGAGGGCAGAGCCCAGCUGAGUGGUGGACAGAGCAGAGGCAGAACAGAAACUCUCAGCUGCACGUCGGAGCGCAGGCUCGGCACGCCACUUACAACAAAAUAACUUCAACUACAGCAACGAUACAAUGAACUACAACAACCAAAACCACGCCAACAACAGCUACAAAACCAGGAAGUAUGCAACCACAAUCACACCAACUAGAGCAUCAAUACCAGGAACAACAACAACAACUACCUGACCUACAGCAACAACAAAAGAUCCAGAACUACAACUACCUCAACUACAGCAACAAUACACGGCACUACACCGACAACAAACCAACAAUACCAGGAACUAAAACGAUUUGGCGACGACAACACGACGGGGUCGACCCUCCG